rnacentral:rRNA from 1 species
GACGAACGCUGGCGGCGUGCUUAACACAUGCAAGUAGAACGGAAAGGCCCUGCUUUUGUGGGGUGCUCGAGUGGCGAACGGGUGAGUAACACGUGAGUAACCUGCCCUUGACUUUGGGAUAACUUCAGGAAACUGGGGCUAAUACCGGAUAGGAGCUCCUGCUGCAUGGUGGGGGUUGGAAAGUUUCGGCGGUUGGGGAUGGACUCGCGGCUUAUCAGCUUGUUGGUGGGGUAGUGGCUUACCAAGGCUUUGACGGGUAGCCGGCCUGAGAGGGUGACCGGCCACAUUGGGACUGAGAUACGGCCCAGACUCCUACGGGAGGCAGCAGUGGGGAAUAUUGCACAAUGGGCGGAAGCCUGAUGCAGCAACGCCGCGUGCGGGAUGACGGCCUUCGGGUUGUAAACCGCUUUCGCCUGUGACGAAGCGUGAGUGACGGUAAUGGGUAAAGAAGCACCGGCUAACUACGUG